CCUACGGGUGGCUGCAGUGAGGAAUAUUGCGCAAUGGGCGAAAGCCUGACGCAGCCACGCCGCGUGGAGGAUGACACCCCUCUGGGGCGUAAACUCCUUUUGCAUGGGAAGAACAGCGCGGUCGCCGCGAACUGACGGUACCAUGCGAAUAAGCACCGGCUAACUCCGUGCCAGCAGCCGCGGUAAUACGGAGGGUGCAAGCGUUGUCCGGAUUUAUUGGGUGUAAAGGGUGUGCAGGCGGGACGGUAAGUCAGAGGUGAAAGCCCGCAGCUUAA
rnacentral:rRNA from 1 species